rnacentral:tRNA from 1 species
GGCGCGUUCGUCUAGUGGUUUAGGACGCCGCCCUCUCAAGGCGGAGAUCGCGGGUUCGAAUCCCGCACGCGCUA